GUCGAACACGGAGCAGUACGGACGUGUUAUUCUUCGUUCCUCGGAUCGAACAUCGAAAUGGGAAUUCGAGUAGACGAAGAGGAUCAAGAGAGUUUCAUCUUCGUGUCGCGCUUCUAUCUCGUGGAUAACUCGAAACAUUGACAAAGGAGGCAUCAAGAAAGGAGGAUAAUCGACAUCGUUGCCCGCGAUAUUGCUUCGAACAGACUGUGCGGAAAAAAGAGAGGUCGUCACGUUAACGAAGAUUAUUUUUCCUUGUUCAAAGUCUCUCAACCCGAAAAGCGGGUUCAUUAUUGAUACGCCUCGACAUUUUGUCGACGCCUUAAUGCCCCUCCACUCUUUAAUGACGGCGUUAAUAAGGAUGGUGCUGCGCUACUUACGUGCUAAAGGACGCGACGAGGACGGAGUCAAUACUUUUCUCUUAAUUAACUCGUGGAAGGGAGAGAGAGAGAGA